GACACGUGACAUCCUGUCCGAAGAUGGGGGGACCAUCCUCCAAGGCUAAAUACUCCUGAUUGACCGAUAGUGAACCAGUACUGUGAAGGAAAGGCGAAAAGAACCCCGGUGAGGGGAGUGAAAUAGAACCUGAAACCUUGUACGUACAAGCAGUGGGAGCCUGAAAGGGUGACUGCGUACCUUUUGUAUAAUGGGUCAGCGACUUAUAUUUUGUAGCGAGGUUAACCGAAUAGGGGAGCCGAAGGGAAACCGAGUCUUAACUGGGCGUCUAGUUGCAAGGUAUAGACCCGAAACCCGGUGAUCUAGCCAUGGGCAGGUUGAAGGUUGGGUAACACUAACUGGAGGACCGAACCGACUAAUGUUGAAAAAUUAGCGGAUGACUUGUGGCUGGGGGUGAAAGGCCAAUCAAACCGGGAGAUAGCUGGUUCUCCCCGAAAUCUAUUUAGGUAGAGCCUUGAGCGGACACCUUCGGGGGUAGAGCACUGUUUCGGCUAGGGGUCCAUCCCGGAUUACCAACCCGAUGCAAACUACGAAUACCGAAGAGUGAUACUCAGGAGACACACGGCGGGUGCUAACGUCCGUCGUGGAGAGGGAAACAACCCAGACCGCCAGCUAAGGUCCCAAAGUCUAUAUUAAGUGGGAAACGAAGUGGGAAGGCUUAGACAGCUAGGAUGUUGGCUUAGAAGCAGCCAUCAUUUAAAGAAAGCGUAAUAGCUCACUAGUCGAGUCGGCCUGCGCGGAAGAUGUAACGGGGCUCAAAUAUAGCACCGAAGCUGCGGCAUCAGACGUAAGUCUGUUGGGUAGGGGAGCGUUCUGUAAGCGGAUGAAGGUGAAUCGAGAGGUUUGCUGGACGUAUCAGAAGUGCGAAUGCUGACAUAAGUAACGAUAAAACGGGUGAAAAACCCGUUCGCCGGAAGACCAAGGGUUCCUGUCCAACGUUAAUCGGGGCAGGGUGAGUCGGCCCCUAAGGCGAGGCUGAAAAGCGUAGUCGAUGGGAAACGGGUUAAUAUUCCCGUACUUGGAUAAACUGCGAUGUGGGGACGGAGCAGGUUAGGUUAUCGCACUGUUGGAUAUGUGCGUUUAAGUUGGUAGGUGUGAAGUUUAGGCAAAUCCGGACUUCUAUAACACCGAGAGAUGAUGACGAGGCUCUACGGAGCUGAAGUAACCGAUACCACACUUCCAGGAAAAGCCACUAAGCUUCAGGUUUAUCUAAACCGUACUGAAAACCGACACAGGUGGUCAGGUAGAGAAUACUCAGGCGCUUGAGAGAACUCGGGUGAAGGAACUAGGCAAAAUAGCACCGUAACUUCGGGAGAAGGUGCGCCGGCGUAGAUUGUAGUCCCUUGCGGGCGAAGGUUGAACCGGUCGAAGAUACCAGCUGGCUGCAACUGUUUAUUAAAAACACAGCACUCUGCAAACACGAAAGUGGACGUAUAGGGUGUGAUGCCUGCCCGGUGCUGGAAGGUUAAUUGAUGGUGUAAUCGAAAGAGAAGCUCCUGAUCGAAGCCCCAGUAAACGGCGGCCGUAACUAUAACGGUCCUAAGGUAGCGAAAUUCCUUGUCGGGUAAGUUCCGACCUGCACGAAUGGCAUAAUGAUGGCCAGGCUGUCUCCACCCGAGACUCAGUGAAAUUGAAAUCGCCGUGAAGAUGCGGUGUACCCGCGGCUAGACGGAAAGACCCCGUGAACCUUUACUAUAGCUUGACACUGAACAUUGAAUUUUGAUGUGUAGGAUAGGUGGGAGACUUAGAAGAUGAUACGCCAGUAUUGUUGGAGUCGUCCUUGAAAUACCACCCUUUAACGUUUGAUGUUCUAACGAAGAUUACGAAACGUGGUCUCGGACAGUGUCUGGUGGGUAGUUUGACUGGGGCGGUCUCCUCCCAAAGAGUAACGGAGGAGCACGAAGGUUUGCUAAUGACGGUCGGACAUCGUCAGGUUAGUGCAAUGGUAUAAGCAAGCUUAACUGCGAGACAGACAAGUCGAGCAGGUACGAAAGUAGGUCAUAGUGAUCCGGUGGUUCUGAAUGGAAGGGCCAUCGCUCAACGGAUAAAAGGUACUCCGGGGAUAACAGGCUGAUACCGCCCAAGAGUUCAUAUCGACGGCGGUGUUUGGCA
rnacentral:rRNA from 1 species